rnacentral:rRNA from 1 species
GGGUGCGAUCAUACUAGCAUUAAUGCAUUGGAUCCCAUCAAAACUCCACAGUUAAGUUCACUUGGGCUAGAGUAUUAUUGGGAUGGGUGACCUCCUGUGUAAUGCCCCAUAUUUGGCCUU